GACGUGGGGGGCCAGCGUUGUUCGGAAUUACUGGGUGUAAAGGGUCAGUAGGCGGUGUGGCAAGUCGGGAGUGAAAUCUCUGGGCUCAACCCAGAGACUGCUUCCGAAACUGCUGUGCUAGAGUGUGGGAGAGGCGCGUGGAAUUGCAGGUGUAGCGGUGAAAUGCGUAGAUAUCUGCAGGAACACCCGUGGCGAAAGCGGCGCGCUGGACCACAACUGACGCUGAAUGACGAAAGCUAGGGGAGCAAACAGG
rnacentral:rRNA from 1 species